GACGAACGCUGGCGGCGUGCCUAACACAUGCAAGUCGAACGAAGCAUAGUAAUAUGCUUAGUGGCGGACGGGUGAGUAACGCGUGAACAAUCUGCCCUGUACAAAGGAAUAGCCUCGGGAAACCGGGAUUAAAACCAUAUGACACUUUAGUAUCGCAUGGUACAUAAGUCAAAUAUUUAUAGGUAUGGGAUGAGUUCGCGUCUGAUUAGCUAGUUGGUGAGGUAAAGGCUCACCAAGGCGACGAUCAGUAGCCGGCCUGAGAGGGUGAACGGCCACACUGGAACUGAGACACGGUCCAGACUCCUACGGGAGGCAGCAGUGGGGAAUAUUGCACAAUGGAGGGAACUCUGAUGCAGCGACGCCGCGUGAGUGAAGAAGGUCUUCGGAUCGUAAAACUCUGUCCUUGGUGAAGAUAAUGACGGUAGCCAAGGAGGAAGCCCCGGCUAACUACGUG
rnacentral:rRNA from 1 species